rnacentral:lncRNA from 1 species
CUCGGAGCCGAUGGCCGACCCGCCGCCGCUUGGUGGAAAACCAAUGCUCUGAGGGUUGGGAAUAGGAAUGAGAAGAAAACACGCAAUGGGAGGCACAGUUAAGGUGUGGACUUUGGCUCUGAAGGACAGUGACCUCAAUGGGAAAGCCUGACUGGUGAUGUUGACCGUGAGAUGAUCAAAGUGCACAUUCCCACUGAGACGCACAGUCUGAGACCAGACAGAAUCGGCAUUCCUUUCUCCCCGCUCAUGCUCCCUCCCCUGCCCUUCACAUCCCCAGAAGACAAUGAUGAAUGAGGGGAAGGAGGAGCUCAAGCUGCCCUGGUGCUGGAGGACAAGCUCUCUCUGACUUCAGGAAAGAUGUUGAAGGUAGACGGCAUCUUCCAACUUCCGGAGCUUCCAGGGACAUUAAAUUUAUUUAUGUUUAAAUAAAUAUUUAC